UAAUGGAUAUAUCUCUACUCUGCUAACAAUUUUUCUGAUUUCUGUUUAUUAUGGUUGUCUUGCAGUUGGCUACUAUUUGGUUGGAGCGCAAGGAUUCCCUAGCUGGAGCAGUACUUUUGGCCUUAAGGCAACAUUGUUAUGGAGAAAUUUGAGAGGAGGGGCAUGAAGUAACAAACCAAGUAGGGGAACAUAUCACCUCAAGUACGAUUCCGGAUUACUCGCAGCAGCCCCCUAUUUAGGAACUAAUUGGAAGGGAUCUUCAUGAUAUAUAAUGAAUGGAAAUUCAGACAUAUUUCGAGGAGGCUUGCAACAACACUAGAGUAAUUGGUACAUGAAGUAGAUCGAGGAAGAUCCCUGCAAAGUUCAUCUUGAAGUAGAGGAAAAAAACUAACUUGUAAAG